CGCGUAGGCGGGAUGGCAAGUCAGUCGUGAAAUCUCUCGGCUCAACCGAGAAACGUCGGCUGAUACUGCCGUUCUUGAGGGAUGCAGAGGAGACUGGAAUUCCCGGUGUAGCGGUGAAAUGUGUAGAGAUCGGGGGGAACACCGGUGGCGAAGGCGGGUCUCUGGGCAUUUCCUGACGCUGAGGCGCGAAAGCGUGGGAGCAAACG
rnacentral:rRNA from 1 species